CAAUAGCGUAUAUUUAAGUUGUUGCAGUUAAAAAGCUCGUAGUUGGAUUUCGGGUGCGAACGACCGGUCCGUCUUUGAUGUGUACUGGUUGGUUGCGCCUUAUUGUCGAGGACGUGGUUCUAGCUUUCAUUAGCCGGGACACGGAGUCGGCAGCGUUACUUUGAGAAAAUUAGAGUGUUCAAAGCAGGCUAUCGCUCUGAAUACUACAGCAUGGAAUAACACGAUAGGACUCCGAGCCUAUUCUGUUGGUCUUCGGGGCCGGAGUAAUGAUUAAGAGGGACAGUUGGGGGCAUUCGUAUUCCGAUGUCAGAGGUGAAAUUCUUGGAUUAUCGGAAGACGAGCAUCUGCGAAAGCAUUUGCCAAGGAUGUUUUCAUUAA
rnacentral:rRNA from 1 species